GGGUGUGGUAUAAUGGUAGCAUGAAAGCUUCCCAAGCUUUAGACGAGGGUUCGAUUCCCUUCGCCCG
rnacentral:tRNA from 1 species